GGAAACCGGAGCUAAUACCGGAUAAUAUUUUGAACCGCAUGGUUCAAAAGUGAAAGACGGUCUUGCUGUCACUUAUAGAUGGAUCCGCGCUGCAUUAGCUAGUUGGUAAGGUAAUGGCUUACCAAGGCAACGAUGCAUAGCCGACCUGAGAGGGUGAUCGGCCACACUGGAACUGAGACACGGUCCAG
rnacentral:rRNA from 1 species